AUUGAACGCUGGCGGAAUGCUUUACACAUGCAAGUCGAACGGCAGCACGGGAGCUUGCUCCUGGUGGCGAGUGGCGAACGGGUGAGUAAUAUAUCGGAACGUAUCCAAUAAUGGGGGAUAACUAGUCGAAAGAUUAGCUAAUACCGCAUACGCCCUAAGGGGGAAAGCUGGGGAUCUUCGGACCUAGCGUUAAUGGAGCGGCCGAUAUCUGAUUAGCUAGUAGGUGAGGUAAAAGCUCACCUAGGCGACGAUCAGUAGCUGGUCUGAGAGGACGACCAGCCACACUGGAACUGAGACACGGUCCAGACUCCUACGGGAGGCAGCAGUGGGGAAUUUUGGACAAUGGGGGCAACCCUGAUCCAGCCAUUCCGCGUGAGUGAAGAAGGCCUUCGGGUUGUAAAGCUCUUUCGCAAGGGAAGAAAACUUAACCUCUAACAUAGGUUGAGGCUGACGGUACCUUGAUAAGAAGCACCGGCUAACUACGUGCCAGCCGCCGCGGUAAGAC
rnacentral:rRNA from 1 species